rnacentral:rRNA from 2 species
AAUGCGUAGAGAUCUGGAGGAAUACCGGUGGCGAAGGCGGCCCCCUGGACGAAGACUGACGCUCAGGUGCGAAAGCGUGGGGAGCAAACAGGAUUAGAUACCCUGGUAGUCCACGCCGUAAACGAUGUCGACUUGGAGGUUGUGCCCUUGAGGCGUGGCUUCCGGAGCUAACGCGUUAAGUCGACCGCCUGGGGAGUACGGCCGCAAGGUUAAAACUCAAAUGAAUUGACGGGGGCCCGCACAAGCGGUGGAGCAUGUGGUUUAAUUCGAUGCAACGCGAAGAACC